AUCUACUGCGCAGUGGCGAUAUCGUAACCAAUGAGGUUUUACCGAGAUGCGAUUAUUGCUAGUUGAAAAACCAUCAGCAACUGCUUCUUUAAAAACAAAGCAAAUUAUCGGCUAUUUCCAGAGCCACCAAAAUUUUAUACGAAA